AGAAAUAAAUAAAUAAAAUUGUGUGAGGAAGAGAAUUUGGCUUAAUAUUAUGCUGUAAACAUGUAUCAAAACUUAUCAUACAUACAUUUUUUUUAGAACAGCCUUCAAAUUGGCUGGUGUUGCACACAAAUUAUAGAUACAAACAAACAUUACAAGUUUAGAGAGAAAUUAAAAACAAGGGGAAAAUUGAAAGAAUAUUUGAGGUUGGAAAAAUCCAUCUAUCUAUUUCUCUAUCUCUUUUGGAAGUUAAAGGUCUUGAUUGCAACAGCAAAAGUAAAUGCAAAGAGAACUGCAAUGCCAGCAACCACAACAGCAGCAACUCCAAUGAAAUCAUGUUUGAUUCCAUAACUGUCUUCAAUGAAAGCUUUCACAGUCUUGUUUUCAGACGGCAUAACUUCCAAUAUAUCUCCAAACUGAGAUCCAACCAAUCCAUAUAAGGUCCAAGCCACUGGGCAUGCCCAAUAGUACCAUCUCCACCAAAUUGGGAUGCUCUGUUCAAAAUAGAAAACAACAACAUUAUAAUUGAAUCUAUAUUCAUGCAUUUCUCAGGGUAUUUUAUUAAUUCAAAAGCUGGGUGGCAACAAACAACUUACAGGUCUUGAAACAACAAAUCCUGAGAAGAGAUUCCAAAUUGCAUAAAAUGCAGCAGCCACGAUGGAAGCAACAUGGUGGUUUGGUGUCACUGCAACACCCAUCAUGCCGUAGAAGGUGAAGUACAAGAGUGUGAAGUACAUGAAAAAUAGAUACCAAAAGAAUUUCUCUGCAGUCCACUCAAAUCCGAUCAUGGCAUAAACUAUUACACCGUAUGUCACCGCUUGAAAAAAGAUAUAGGGUAGCUCCACUAGAAUCUGUGACAAAAAGCACCCAGUUUGUUUGUUGGUUGGUUACUUUACUUAACAUAAUCAAUGUGAUUCAAACAAAAGUACUAGUAACAUAUGUCUGUAAAAUAAAUGAUGUUGAUGUUGUGUCAUGAUACCUGUGAAAAUGCAUAGGGUAAGGCAGAAUACAUUCCGGCAGCCUUUUCUCUGUAGAAGACGGUCCUUUCAACUGCCACCACUGGCUGUACGGAAGAAGAAUUUUGUACUCCAAGGAAAAGAACAGCAGUAUACAUUGAACCCAGAGCAUUCAUCAGAUCUCCUCUUGUUGAGCUGUGAAAGCAAAACAGGAAUUAGAACUCUAGUGGAAUUUGGAAGUUGUCAAAGCACACAUGUAUAUCGUGCACUUUACAUUUGGAGAGUAAUCAUAAGAUUUUAUUUGACUUACUGUUUUCCUCCGAGGUCCCAGAACAUAGUUCCGAACAUUAUGGCUAUGAAAGUUGUGAAGAAAAACCUCACAGAAGUGUAUGGUGGAUUACGCCAAUAUGACCACCGUUGUUUCCAUAAGCAAGCUUGGCAUUGAACCAAGAAAGACUGAGAGUAUUGAGUAGGGAAAUAAAGAUCCUUUGAACCGGGAGCAGGCUGACCCAAUUCUUGUAUAAGCUGCUUGUUUCUCCUGAAAAACCAUGAAAACUCACUUAAGCAUUAUGAAAAUCAAUAAAACAAACAAGAGUUAGUAAAUUCCUGUCCACUUGCGUUUCCGUACCUAUAUAGAUCAGAGUUCUUGUACAGGUCAGUGAAAUCAACACCCAAACUAAGCUCUUGAGCUGUGGUUGUAACUUCCAACAUCCAAGUAGCAGGGUUAUAUCCAUCUUUGAUUUUGCUAACUCCAUCAAUGCUCUGCACAGUGGAAAUUAUUGGGAAAAUUUAGUAUUUACUGUGAAGAGUGAUGGUCGUUCUCAUUUGAUUAUUAGAGUAUGAUCUUACCUCGAAAUACUUGAUCAGAUGACUAGAAUGACGUCCCAGUGGCCCGACAUAUAUUUCCUGUCCUCCACGCUUCAUUAGGAACAACUGUAAUCACACAAAAAGAUAUCAUGUUAGAUUCAAGCCUACGGGAGGAGGGUAACCAAGUAAGACACGUGUUCAUUUGUCAUUGUGGUCACUCACCUCAUCAAAUGCUUCAAAUAUGUCAAUGCUGGGCUGAUGGAUGGUGCACACAACAGUUCUUCCGGUGUCCACAGUGUUUCUGACUGUUCUCAUGACAAUAGCAGCAGCUCUUGCAUCUAGCCCAGAAGUAGGCUCAUCCAUGAAAAUUAUGGACGGGUUANUUCAUUGGAGUUGCUGCUGUUGUGGUUGCUGGCAUUGCAGUUCUCUUUGCAUUUACUUUUGCUGUUGCAAUCAAGACCUUUAACUUCCAAAAGAGAUAGAGAAAUAGAGAUAGAUUUUUCCAACCUCAAAUAUUCUUUGUAUUUUCCCACUUUUUUUCCCUUGUUUUUAAUUUCUCUCUAAACUUGUAAUGUUUGUUUAUAUCUAUAGUUUGUGUGCAACACCAGCCAAUUUGUAGGCUGUACUAAAAAAAAAUGUAUGUAUGAUGAGUUUUUAUACAUGCUUACAGCAUAAUAUUAAGUCCAAUUCUGUGCAUCACACAAUUUUAUUUAUUUAUUUGUUUAUUUUAUAAUUUAUCAACGGUUAUCUCCCACUUUUUUAAAUUUCUGUCUCGAUCUUCUAUCUUAAAUUUAGUUUUAUUCAUAAACUGCAUCAUAAAUCAUCACCAUCUUACCAGCAAGUUGGUAGUUCAAACGGUGUUAAACUUUGUAUACUUAAACAAGACUUUUGGUUGAAGUCUUAAAGAAAAAACAUCUUCUACUGAUAAUAUAGUCAGUACGAUUUUCUUGAUCAAGAAUAGUCUGAAAGAAAAUCAAUAACACGGUAAAAGAACAAUAAAUUUUUCAGUCAAAAGAUCAAUGAUUGUAAAAAAUAUAUAGAAAGGAUUUUAACCGACAACGCAUUUCCUCAAACACUGGACAUCCAAUGACGCUCAUUGUGACCAUGUCAACGUGCUGCGACAAACGAGAGCACCCAAAUCCUGUUGCCACACUCACUACCACGUUAAGGUUUUUGCCUUUGUUUGGACUUUUCAACUUUGGUUUGGUUUGGAUCUAAAUCUGUGCUUCAAAUUAAUCUCAUCACGAUACCCGUUUACUUCAUUUGAACUUAGACCUAAUUUGAAUUAAAAAAAAAAAAAAAACUUUUAAAAUCAGAGAGCAAUCAGAGUUACACAGCAGAAGGAAGUUGGGUGCCGCUGGGCGAGCAAGCUGUCUCGAUGGGCGAGAUACACGGGAGCAAGGAGCGUCUGGCGGUAGCUCGCCGGAGUCAGGCGGCGCUGGGCCGUAGCUUGACAAAGAGAUCUCCUUUCAUUGAGCCAACUUUACUAAGAUGGCGCUUGGCAAUAGCUGUGCUGAUAAGCGAAAAUAGAGUAUUUAAUCAUAUUUUCUGCUAGGGUUUUUAAUGUAUUUCAUAUUUUGCAAGAUAGAAAAUCACUUAACAUUUAUUAUUUUAAGUUGUUGACGUCUCUUCAAAGUGAUGUAUGUUGCAGGAACAAUAGAGGUCUGUUUAUAAUUUAUAGAUUUGAUUCUUUUAAUUUUUGGUUGAUGUUUUUUUCAAAAAUUAAUAUAAAAUACAAUAAUACAUAACGAUUUUUAAAAAUAGUAUGAGUAUCUAAAAUAAAAAUAUAAAUAUAAGAAAGUGGUUGAAAAAUACUAAUAAAAUAAAAAACAUAUCUUAAAUCAUGGACUUUUGAAAAUUUCAAAACAUUGAAGAAAAAGAAAAACUCUUAAACAAUAGCCAUCGCGUUUGUUAUUUUAUUUUCAAUAACUUUCAUUUUUUAAGAGUCUUUAUUCGAUGUCUGUGCUAAAAAUUAUGACAAUUUAAAGUUUAUAAAACUAAGGUUAAACUAAAAAUGCAACUUUUAUAACACACAAAAAUGGCUAGUGAGUGAAAACACCAAUUUUAAAAAAAAUGUAAUCAGGAAUAAUGAAAGCUUUAACCUAAAUGAGCAUCAUAAUGGAAAAUGAAGUAAAAUGGGUUGAAGAAUUUUCUCCUACGAAUUUAGCUCAUUCGUUGCACUUUAGUGGAAAGUUUGACACAAAUGUGAAAGAGAAAUAUGAGGACGCUGACGUUAUUUCUAAAUUUUAAAAAAAAUUUGAUUUAGGACACUCUCACAACAAAUGUCAAUUUGCAAUUUAACGUCAAACCUAGGACCAACCACGUUAAAUAACAUCAGAAAUUUGGGUUGAAGAGGAAGAAGAUAAGCUAUGAAUUAAAGGUAAAGAUACAAAUGAGAGGCAUAAUUGAAGUGUGGAGCAGCCACUAAGAACCUUGGAAAAUGACUUUCUUUUCUUUAUGAUUUUAAUUUCUUCCUUAACUCUUCCAUUUGUAAAUCCUAAGUUUUUUACCAUGGACACCUAUUUGUUGAGAUUAGAUAUAAUAACUUGAAUUAUUGUGUAUUUGUGUUGUUAAUACAUAUGUUUUUUUUUUUCAUUUCAAUGUUAGUAUUUGAUUUUUAUACUUACUGCUUAUUGUGACUAGAUCACUCAUAACUUGAUUGUUCAGGUGUUGAAAAAUAUCUUUUAUAACCUAGAACUGAAACUAAUUACCUAAUGAAACUUUACAUAAGGAUAUGACAUUGAUUCCUUAGUAAUCUUAAGACUCUUGACCUUGUACAUAUGUUUUGCUUGUUAAGUAUUCAAGUAAUUUGAACUUAAUGAUUAAUCAAUGAGUAAUCAUAGACUAAUUGGAAUUGAGAUAAGUGCGAAUGCAUGAGAAUGAAGUGGACGAAAUCUAGUUUUUGAAAAUUGUAAAUAUUCUAUGUUAAGUUUUACUCACACACCAACUUUUGGAUAAAAAUAUAGGCUUGAUACCUCCCUUGGUCCUCGUAUUUGUAUGGAAAUCUCAGUUCGGUCCUCAAGUUUUGAACUGUCUCAAUUGGGUCAUAAUUUUUGUAAAAAUGCACACAUUUUACCCCAACCGUUAACUGAUCUCAAACGACGUUAAGUUUAGCUGACGUGGUAUGUUGACGUGUUGGCUUAAUCCCUUGUUGGUCCUCGUAUUUGUGUGAAAAUCUCAGUUCGGUCCUCAAGUUUUGAACUGUCUCAAUUGGGUCAUAAUUUUUGUAAAAAUGCACACAUUUUACCCCAAUCGCUAACUGAUCUCAAUGUGCAACAAUUAUCUUCUGCUAUUAGUGGAAUAAAUAGCUUAAAGGCUGGUGAUGAACCUAUAAGUUACCAAGUUGGUUCAUUUGCAGAAAAGGCUGUGAGACUGAUUGCACUGGUUAUGCGAGUUUUCCGGUGACUUUAUUUUUUGAGCAGACGAGAUAAUUUGUGUAAAAUCCCUGAUUCUUAUAGAGAUGAAUAAAAUCCCUAAUUCAAAUAAACUAAAUAAUAGGCAUUGUGCCACGUGAAACACUGCUUAUUUUAAAAAAUAAUUCAUAUAAUUAAACAAUACACGUCAGCAUGUUCUCUGGCUACCACGUCAGCUAAACUUAACGCCGUUUGAGAUUAGUUAACGAUUGGGGUAAAAUGUGUGCAUUUUUACAAAAGUUAUGACCCAAUUGAGACAGUUCAAAACUUGAGGACUAAACUGAGAUUUUCACACAAAUACGAGGACCAAGAAGGAUUAAGCCAACACGUCAGCAUACCACGUCAGCUAAACUUAACGCGUUUGAGAUCAGUUAACAGUUGGGGUAAAAUGUGUGCAUUUUUUCAAAAAUUAUGACCCAAUUGAGACAGUUCAAAACUUGAGGAGCGAACUGAGAUUUUCAUACAAAUACGAGGACAAGGGAGGUAUUAAACCAAAAAUAUACAAAAAAAAAGAGUUUAUUGUAUUUUUGUGAACUUUGUUGUCUAAAUUGGUUAUUGAAUGCAAGAGUUAUCAUGUGUUGCACAAAUUCAUUAGAAAAGAGCGAUAAAAUAUUUAUUACUAACUACUUUACUGAUGAUGCACUUUUUGUUUCAUGCUAAAAAACCUCUUAACCUAAAAAUUCAAUUAUCUUCUAAGAGAAUUGUUACAACUCAAAUCAUGACGACAAAUAAAAAAAUAAUGGUUUUAAAAACAUAUUUUGAAGUUCUCACCAUAAUUUAUUUUAAAAAAUUAUUUAAAAAAAAAUAGAAAGAUAAAGCGCAGUUUCUAAAACCAGAUUUUAGAUCUAGAAAUCAGUUAAAAAAGUGUUAAUAUAUCUUACCAAACUUAUCUUACCACAUACCUUUAAAUGUGCAAAAAAAAUAUGUAUUUUUCAAAAUAUUUAAUUUUUCCUAAAAAAUAAUAAAAUUUUCGAAAAGAAAAAAAAUAUAUAUUUUUUGGCUCAAUAAGAAUGUAUCUUGCUCUCAUGUAUUUCUUCAAAAUGGAAAAUCAAUGGUAGUUUAAAAAAAAAAACAUUCGGAAGAAUGUUUUGAUUUUUAGUUUUUGAAAAUUUUAUAUUACUUUACCAUUUUAGAAUUAUUUGAAAAUAAAUAUCACUAGAAGAGGAAUGGUCGAACAAACACCAAAACAAAUGGAUAAAAAAAUACUUUUGUAUUAUUUUUAGGAAAAUAUAUUUGCUUCUUCUUUUUUUACAUUAAAAGAGUCUAUGCUAAUAAUUAAGAAAUAGUAAAUGUAUAAAUCAUAUUUGCAUGACCAUAAAAUUAUUGAAAUGAAAUAAUAAAUAAUGAAAUGAUUAAUAGUAAAAAUAAUGGACCUAAAAGAAAGAUUCAAAAUUAGGUGUAAUAAAAUAUGCAUACAAUAUUAAAACAAAAAUAUAAUGACAAAUUUGGAAUGCAUAUAUCAAAAAGGAAAAAAAAAAUGACAAUAACAUUCAUUCCAAACUCAAUAUUCACAUCAAUCUGACCAUUCUCUCGUAAAAUAAAAAUAAAAUUUAGAUAAAAGAAUAAUAUAAAGAAAAAAAGUGGCCCAUGAUUCCACAUAAAUGAAAAGGAAUUAAAAGUCCUAGCAAAACUAGGGUGCCCUCACUUGUUUAUUCCUUCACGUAAAUAAAUCUAUUACCCAUGUACAACAAUUAUUACCCAUAACUUAUAACAAUAAAUAUGUAUCCUUAUUGCUAAUGAUAAAAACAAAGACAUUUUCGUAUAUAAAGAAUGAAAAACAAACACCAUGUUCCAAAAUAACAACACAAAUUAAUAAGAAACUAAUGGUUGUCAACACUAAUGGGUAGAUAAUAUUAAUUUUUAAUAACAUAAUAAUUAGUUAUGUUAUCAUCAAGAAAUUCUGUUUAUGUCAUAAAUAAUAUGAUAUAACUAAUAAAUAUUAAUUUUUCCUUAUUUAAGGGUAGUUAAUAUAUUACAUAAUUCUCACACCUGAAUCUUCUUAUUGGACUCUUUUAGGUCUUCCAAAUAAUAAUAAUUUUGUAAAUUUAAGCCAGGUAGGUUCAUUUAAGUAUACAAAGUACAACACCAUUUGGACUAACAACUUGUUGGUAUGAUGGUGGAUGAUUUAUGAUGCACUUUACGAAUCAAAUUAAAUUUAAGAUAGAAGAUCGAGACAGAAAUCUGAAAAAAGUAGGAGAAAUAAAUAAAUAAAAUUGUGUGAGGAAGAGAAUUUGGCUUAAUAUUAUGCUGUAAACAUGUAUCAAAACUUAUCAUACAUACAUUUUUUUUAGAACAGCCUUCAAAUUGGCUGGUGUUGCACACAAAUUAUAGAUACAAACAAACAUUACAAGUUUAGAGAGAAAUUAAAAACAAGGGGAAAAUUGAAAGAAUAUUUGAGGUUGGAAAAAUCCAUCUAUCUAUUUCUCUAUCUCUUUUGGAAGUUAAAGGUCUUGAUUGCAACAGCAAAAGUAAAUGCAAAGAGAACUGCAAUGCCAGCAACCACAACAGCAGCAACUCCAAUGAAAUCAUGUUUGAUUCCAUAACUGUCUUCAAUGAAAGCUUUCACAGUCUUGUUUUCAGACGGCAUAACUUCCAAUAUAUCUCCAAACUGAGAUCCAACCAAUCCAUAUAAGGUCCAAGCCACUGGGCAUGCCCAAUAGUACCAUCUCCACCAAAUUGGGAUGCUCUGUUCAAAAUAGAAAACAACAACAUUAUAAUUGAAUCUAUAUUCAUGCAUUUCUCAGGGUAUUUUAUUAAUUCAAAAGCUGGGUGGCAACAAACAACUUACAGGUCUUGAAACAACAAAUCCUGAGAAGAGAUUCCAAAUUGCAUAAAAUGCAGCAGCCACGAUGGAAGCAACAUGGUGGUUUGGUGUCACUGCAACACCCAUCAUGCCGUAGAAGGUGAAGUACAAGAGUGUGAAGUACAUGAAAAAUAGAUACCAAAAGAAUUUCUCUGCAGUCCACUCAAAUCCGAUCAUGGCAUAAACUAUUACACCGUAUGUCACCGCUUGAAAAAAGAUAUAGGGUAGCUCCACUAGAA
rnacentral:lncRNA from 1 species